GGCUAAAAUAAUAAAAAAAAGUCUCUGUGAUGGCUUUAUGACUAUAGAACUAUAGAAGUCAUAAAAUGAGUCCUACCAAUUUGUUAAAGAAGUCCAAAUGAGGAUGUUCAAUGAAUCCUGCCAAUUUGGUAAAAAAGUCCAAGUGAGGAUCAGGAACAAGUAUUAUAAAGCCAAAGAUCCCAGUGAGGCUCAGGAACAAGUAUUAUAAAUACAUAAGGCAAUACUUUCAGCAGGCAAAACAAUCCAACCAUAUCCCAACAUCAAUCCCAAUGACUGGACGACACACAGCAUCAGGAGCAGAACUGAACUUUUAAUCACUCA